GAUGAACGCUGGCGGCGUGCCUAACACAUGCAAGUCGAACGGAGUCGUUUUGGAAAUCUCUUCGGAGAUGGAAUUCUCGACUUAGUGGCGGACGGGUGAGUAACGCGUGAGCAAUCUGCCUUUAAGAGGGGGAUAACAGUCGGAAACGGCUGCUAAUACCGCAUAAAGCAUCGAAACCGCAUGAUUUUGAUGCCAAAGGAGCAAUCCGCUUUUAGAUGAGCUCGCGUCUGAUUAGCUGGUUGGCGAGGUAACGGCCCACCAAGGCGACGAUCAGUAGCCGGACUGAGAGGUUGAACGGCCACAUUGGGACUGAGACACGGCCCAGACUCCUACGGGAGGCAGCAGUGGGGAAUAUUGUGCAAUGGGGGAAACCCUGACACAGCAACGCCGCGUGAUUGAAGAAGGCCUUCGGGUUGUAAAGAUCUUUAAUCAGG
rnacentral:rRNA from 1 species